rnacentral:tRNA from 1 species
CAGAUACAUGUGCGCAUGCACGUGUACACACAUGCAUGCAUACACACAUGCAUUUGUAGAUAUAUGUGUAGGUGUGUACACACAACAUACACAUAUGCAUCCACACAUACACAUAUACAUAUGAGGUGGCACGUUCAGCUUUCAAGAGGACCAUCAGGGACUUUGUCACCUUGACAACUUUAGCCUUGCCUUCUAGUCACCUUGCCGGAACACUUGUGCCCGUGUUUUUCUAGCACUGUCAUAAGAAUACUUUUACCUAUCAAGGCAACUGGGGGUUAGGAGAGCUUUUUGCACAGGAGGCUACUUGGCUUUGUUUGAAAACUGAUGAUACAUGAGGAUUGGGGUGGUGAAUCACUCACAUGUUUCUUCAUAUGAAAAAUGAGGACUGUGGGAUUCUCUGGCUGGAUCUCAGCACCUAGAAAUGGAUCUGGGCAAUAGGAACUGCUCAGUAUUAGCUACCGCUUUGGUUGCCUUCUCCUUGCGGAAAGCUGGCCUCUCACACUGAAUUUGUAUCAUAGGCACUCAUGAGGGUCUUGACUGUAUCAAUAUCUGAUGAGAGAUUUUAGUGCAGUUCUGUUAUCGUGGCUGAUUUGCUCAUUUGGUAGCUAGCAUCCAGCUUCUUGUGAACAUUAAAAUAAAAUAAAAUAGAUUAUGGAGGAAUAGAAUACAGAUACGUAGUAAGGUAUUAUUUUCCAGACAAAAUGGAUUUGGAUAAAAGAAUCUAAUUAAGAACUUGUGCAUGAUUCUUUUAAAAUUCUUUUGAAUCCAUUUUUUUUUUUUUGGCCUGUUUUCAAGUCUCCGAUUUUUGUCACCCUUCUCACACCAGGUCAGAGAGAUAGCUAAUGGUCAGAAGGAAUCUUCCAGCAAUGACCAUAGCGCUUUCUCCUGCCUGCAGAUGCCUCUUUUUAUUCAGCCUUUAUGGGAAGUAGCAGCACCAUCCAGUUCUCAGAGAGCAAGCUCUGGAGUAACUGAGCUAACCCCAGUUACCCCAGUGGAUUUACAGAUUGAGGUUACAACCCAGCAGGGUUCUCUUCCUGGAAAGAAUAGCCUUCCCUCUAAGGUUUCAAAUAGACCCUGGGUGAGGAAGGAGCCCUAAACAGCUUGAAAAAUUGAAUGCUCUUUGGGCAAAGCAGGAAGCCGUCCUAUGGAAGAGCAUCAUUUGAGCAUAAAUCAGGUUAUCAGGACAAACAGAGUGUUCAGGAGGUCAAGAUGGUUAAGCAGAGACCCUGACCAGAAUGUCCGUGGCGGAGAGAAACAAUCUUGUUGGGAAAAGGAUGACAAUAAUUGGGGACUUAGAAUAAAGGCUAAAAAUGAUUCAAAGAGAAUGCAAAAAGAAUCAGGCACAAAUCGUUUACUAUACUCUGUUAUGCAAAUCUCACCUUACUAUGUGUUUGUAUUCUAUUCCUCCACAAUCUUUAUUUUAUUUUAAUGUUCAAAGAGACUUGUAGGUGCCAAUUAAAUGAACAAAACAGCCAGAGACAACAGAACUGCCCUAAAAAAAGUCCCGCAUCAGCUCUUGAGAGCAGGUUCCUUAAAGGUGAACAAUAUUCCACAUACAAGGACUUUUUCAGCACCAUGCAUUAGAAAUGGAAGUGAAUGUUUAUUAUUUUUUGUAUAAGUUGGUUGAUAUGGCUUUUCAGCUUCCCUCAGUAUCAUUAUCCAAAUUUUGUAGAUGACACUAAAGCUCAGAGGAGUUAAACCAUUUUCCUUAAAUCACAUAGCUUUAAAUAGGAAAACCAGAUAUGAAAAGCAGAUUUUUUUUCUAAAUUAAAAAACCAAAAACAAAAACACGUGAGCUCUUGCUUUACCCUAGCACAUAGUCUUGCCAUCUGUUUUCUCCACACCAGGUGAUUCCUGUAACAUUCAUUCACAUAACAAAUACAAAUAAAUGAGUGGAUUCAUUCAUCAGAUAUUAAUUCAGAAUCCCUUUUGUGCCUUCCAGAAAUCUGGACCAUCUCACAACCCCCAGAGAGUCUCAGCUACAAGGAACAAGUGAUAAUGCCAUCCCACUUUUAUAAACACACACACACACACAUGCAAUACACACACAAUCAUUUAAUCAUUUUUAAUUAUUUAAUUAUUUUUUAAAAAUCAGUGACACUUUAGCUGGGCAGGUCUAGAUAGGUCUUCUUUGCUGGGACGUGUCUUUUUCUGUCCUGGAAUACCCUAAACUUCACAUUUUGGCAGCGUGAGUUUUCCCUUUGUGACUUUCUCCUUCUUCCCUUUUUUCCUCCUUCUUUGCAGAGAAUGAGUAGCCACUGCACCUUGCCCUGCGCCAUCAAUGAGAAGAUCUGCUCUUAGUAGAGCCCUGCUUUCCCGCUGAAGGCCCUGAAAUCACCUGUGUUCCAGGCCACCCACUAAGGAUAAACAAAGCUUCCCUGAUAUGGGGAAUUAGCUCAAGUGGUAGAGCGCUUGCUUAGCAUGCAAGAGGUAGUGGGAUCAAUGCCCACAUUCUCCAAGCUUUAUUAUUUAGGUACCCAAACCCGAGUCAGUGUCUGAGAGCAAGACACUGCUCUCGGUGUCUUUGGUUCAAGACAUAGGAGCAGCAACAAUACAGGACUGGUGACAGCUUCCUGCUGGCAUUCAGUAUAGUGUAGAUCUACUGUGUAAUUAAUUUUCUGUUUCUUCGAGGAGCUGUGAAACCAAAGGACAUAUAAAACUGCUCUUUUCUCCCUGUUUCUGCCUGCAGCUUGGUCCUAAAUGUGAGACAAUUGUGAAAAGUGGAGGACAGAGCCACCUGGUUAAAUACAGCCCCAGCUUUCUGGUGAGAGGACUGAAACCAAGAUGUGUCAAGUAACUAGAAUGUGCCUGGACAGAUACUGUAGAAAGCAAAACCAUAAAGUUGUUCAUGAGCUUGUGGACGCACCUGCCAGCUGUGAAUAAGUGGCUCUAAUCCCGAACAACUUACCUAAAAAGAGCCUGAGAGCUGAACUGUGCAAUGGCCCACUUUCCAGUCCUCACUGACCACUGGGUUGCACACACUUUGGAGAUCUCUGAACAGCAGUGUCAAGGCUUUCAAAUAGAGUUAUCUUUGAAACGACAACACAUGAAAGUCUGGUUGGUACUUGGAGCUUAAAUACAAGGCAAUUGUGUGCCUGCAAAAACAAAAAUAGCAAUAUUAUCCUUAAGAUUUCAACAAGACACAGUGUCUCAUCACAUAAUCCAAAGAAGUCCAGGUUACAAGCCCCACAAUAUUCAGCAUUAUGAAAAAACAGGGAGAUCUUAAUUCACAUGGCAAAGAGAAUCCUCGAAUAACAAUAUUGAGAGGACACAGAUGUCAAAAUCAUCUGACACAUACAUUAAAGCAGAUAUUAUAACAAUGCUCCUAGAAUCGGGGAUAACAUUCGUGAAGUGAAUGGAAAGUUGGAAAGUCUCACCAAAUAUUUCGAAUACAUAAACACCAAUUUAAACUUAAGAAUUAAAAAAAUGUAUUAACCAAAACUCUUAGGGGAAAUAAAAAGCUUAAUUGGAGGAUCUCCAUAAUCGAAUGCAGAAGACUAAGGAAAAAGUCAAUGAACUUGAAAACAGAACACGAAUACCUACAUAAUCUGAACUAUAGAGAGAAAGGAGGAUUUUAUUGUCUCUGAACAGAGGCUCAGGCACAAAUAAAAAAUAACAAAUCCAACAUUCACAUUAUUGUAAUCUGGAAAGAAGAGGACAAAGUGGUCUUUGUGGGAUAAAACUUUGAACAAUUAAUAGCUGAAAAUGGUUCAAAUUUGUCAAAAGAUAUAAACCAGAUUUUUAAAGUUCAGUAAAUGUCAAUCAGGAUAAACCCAAAGAAACCCAUAGCAAGGCAUAUCAUAAUCAAACUGCUGAAAACUAAGAAAAUACAAAACAAUUUUGAAAGCAGCCAAAGGGAAAUGAAAGAGAAACUACCAAAUGAAUGAUUGUAGAUUUCGCAUCAGGAACCAUAGGGGCCAGAAAAAAUGUCAUAACAUUCGGUAAGUAACAAAAGAAAAAGACAUAUCGACCCAGAAUGCUAUGUGGAGCAAAAGUAUCUUCCAGACAUAAAGGCAAAUAAAUGCAUUCUCAGUGGAAGGUAAGUAAAUACAUUCUCAUUCUUAGGAAGACUGCUGGAAAAGAAUUAGCAAAGAUUUGAGAUAAGAAAAAUGAUACCAGAAGGAAACUUAGAACAUCAUCAGUGAAGGAACAAAAGCAGAAAUAGAACAUGUCUGGGUAGACAUAACAGACUAUUAUUCUUCCCUUGAGUUCCUUAAGGAGACUACGGAAAAGAAGAGUGACUAAGAUCUCUGAAGAAGGGAAAAGCUAGAUGACUGGGCCACAAGAGGAAAAAAAGCAGCAAGACAGUGGUUUGAAUACAAGGCGUGGUGAAGAGAUAUAAAUUACACAAGAAACUACAAGCUAUGUCAUAUGUCUACCUCUCUAGCUGACAAGGGAAGCAGGGGAAAUUUCUCUUCCAAUUGUCUGCUCUGAAGGUCAUCCAAACAUAAUUAUCAGGUGGGGUGGGUGAACUCUUUUAUUCUUUUAAUCAUCCAACAAAUAUUUCUCAAGCGCAUACCUUGUUAAGAGACUGUUUUGGGUACAGUAAUUCACAGUGAAUAAAACACAGAUAUUCUCACCUUUGUGAUACUACGUCAUAGUUGCAAGGAGUGGGGAGAAACAGACAGGAAGCAAAGAAGAAAAAUAAACAAGAAGUCAUGUGAUAAUAUCUACUGGGAGGGACUCAUUAGGCAGUAAAGGACUCGGCAGUGUGGAGGUGACACAUUCAGUUUUCAGUAGAAGAAUCAGGGAAGUUGUCACUUUGAAGCUAUCAUUUAGCUUCCCUUUCUUUCAAUCUUCUUUCUUUACAUGGGAAAUAAGGAUUGUGGGAUAUUUUUGGGUGGAUCACAGCACCUAGAGAUGGACCUGAUCAAUAAGAACUGCUCAGUAAGCAUUAGCUACUGCUUCGGUUGCCUUCCCCCUGUGGAGUGCUGGCCUCUUGGAUUGAGCUUGCAUCAUAGGUGUUCAGUAGGAGCUUGCUUAGUGGAUUUAUAGGUUGAGGUUAGAACCCACUGGAAUUCUCUUCCUGGAAAGAACAGGCUUCUCUUUAAGGUUUCAUACAGACCCUGGUUGAGGAAAGAGCCCUAAAUUGCUUGAAAAAUUGAAUGCUCUAUGGGCAAAGCAGGAAGCCCUCCUAUGGAAGGGCAUCAUUUGGGCAUAUAUCAGGGUCUCAGUAAAAACAUGAGUGCUCAGGAAGUCAAGAUGGUUAAGCAGAGAAUCUGACCAGAAUGUUCAUGGUGCGAAGAAAUAAUCUUGUUGGGUGUAGGAUUACAACAACUGGGAAAUUAGAAUACAGGCUAAAUGAGAUUCAAAAAUAAUACAACAAGAAUCAGGCACAAAUCCUUUACUACUACAUUCUUUUGUACAAAUCCAUUUUGCCUAGAAAAUCGUACCUUACUAUACAUCCCUAUUGUGUUUCUCCACCAUCUAUUUUACUUUUUAAACUUUAUUUCAUUUUUGUCAUCACAGAAGCUUGUUGCUACAAAAUAAAUGAGCAAAUCAGCCAAUGGCAACAAAGCUGCACUGAUCUCUCUCCUUAGACCUUCAGAACAUUUUCCUUAAAGGUGAACAAUACUCCACGUUCAAGGACUUUUUCAGCACUAUGUGCUAGAAACUAUGCUGACUGUUUAUUAAUUUUUAUGUAAGUUGGUCGAUAUAGUUUCUCAGCUUCCCCAAGUAUUAUUACCACAGUACUAUAGAUGACACUGAAGCUCAGAGCAGUUAAACCAUUUUCCUCAGAUCACAUAACUUUAAAGAGGGAAACCAGAUAUGGGAAGCAGAUUUCUUUCUAAAUGAAAAAAUCAUGAGCUCUUGCUUUCACUUAGCACAUAGUCUCAUCAUCUGUUUUCUUCACACCAGCUCACUCAUGUAACAUUCAUUCAUUUACCAAAUACAGAUAAAUGAGUGGAUUUAUUCUUGCUUUCAUCAGAUACUAAUUCAAAAUCGCUUCUGUGUCUGCUACACUGUGCUCAAGACUUGCCAGUGCCUUUGUCUCCUCUCCCUCAAAUCUCUCCACCCAAUGUCUUGACAAAUACUGUAGAUUCUUCCUGCAUAACCUCUCCAGAAUCUUUUCCUUCUGUUAUCCAUGCUACAGUGUUUAUGGAGGAUGUUUUCUUCACCUAUGAAGUGUGAUGGGGGCUGAAGCUGCAGCAAGACUCAUGCUGUUCACCUCAGGAGCUGACACAGUAAAUGUGGAUAAACCUCAAUCCUUUAAUAUCUUUAUGACUUCUUUCCCAGUUACCCCAGCGAAUUUACAGAUUGAGGUUAAAACCACAACAGGAUUAUCUUCCUGGAAAGAAUAGGCUUCCCUUUAAGGUUUCACAUAGAUACUGGGUGAGGAAGGAGCCCUAAAUUGCUUGAAAAAUUGAAUGCUCUUUGGGCAAAGCAGGAAGCCUUGCUAUGGAAGAGCAUCAUUUGAACAUAAAUCAGAGUCUCAGUACAAACAGAGUGCUCAGGACAUCAAGAUGGUUAACCAGAGAGCCUGGCCAGAAUAUCUGCGGUGGAGAGAAACGAUCUUGUUGGGAGAAGGAUGACAAUAAUUGGGGACUUAGAAUAAAGGCUAAAAAUGAUUCAAAGAGAAUGCAAAAAGAAUCAGGCACACAUCCUUUACUCUGUUGUGCAAAUCUCACCUUACUGUGUGUUUGUAUUCUAUUCCUCCACAAUCUUUAUUUUAUUUUAUUUUUAUGU